rnacentral:rRNA from 1 species
UACGUAGGGUGCAAGCGUUAAUCGGAAUUACUGGGCGUAAAGCGUGCGCAGGCGGUGAUGUAAGACCGAUUUGAAAUCCCCGGGCUCAACCUGGGAACUGCAUUUGUGACUGCAUCGCUGGAGUGCGGCAGAGGGGGAUGGAAUUCCGCGUGUAGCAGUGAAAUGCGUAGAUAUGCGGAGGAACACCGAUGGCGAAGGCAAUCCCCUGGGCCUGCACUGACGCUCAUGCACGAAAGCGUGGGGAGCAAACAGG